CUUUUUUCCUCAAAAAAUAAAACCACUUAAGUCUAAACUCCACUGAUAAAAAAUAUAUAUAUAUUCAAAACUCACUUGACACAACUUACAUGUCCACCUGUUAAAAAAAUUUACGAGGAAGAUGGUCAAUAGGCUAUUAAGAAUUUUGAAAUUCAUGGAUGUUAAAACACUACUGACAGUGGUAAAACUAAAACUACUCCAAAACAAAUAACCACCACAUUAACUAAAGGGGUGAGAGCCAUAGUGACGUACAGAAAAAAGGGGAAGCACAUCACCACUUUACUCAUAGUCUUGAGAAAAUGAUAAGAAUUGAUGGUGAAGUUUUUAAAGAGCCCUAUACAAUCCUUGGGUAGAUUUCUGUUGAAAACCAAAUAAAAGAAUUUCAUGUAUAUUUUUUGGGUAGAAAGGGAUCAUGAUUUUGUAGGGAUGGUUCAGAAUUGGCCUAUCAUAGGCUCCGUGGAGAGAGCCUGAUGCGCCUUGCUUCAAGUUUCAUGUGAAGGUGAUGAUCAGAUUGCUUUGAACAAGCUGUCCGGUCUUCAAGUUUAAUGCAACUCUAGUGGAGGGCAAGCAAGGACAUCUCUUCCCUAGCAAGCCAAGCAUCACAUCCUGUUCAUCGCCUGCAUCAGUUUCAUUAGUCAGUCAGGAGGAAGCUUUGCUUAUGAGGACUACUUUACACUACUACAUUGCAUUGAUAUGAAAAUAAGAAAUGCUGACAAGCGAAGACCUGGCAUAAUUUUCUUCUGUUCUGCUUUAACUGAAGAAACGGUUCUUGACAUAAUUGUGUGACAGCCAAUGUCAUGGUUGUAAAGCAGAAUAUAUUUUGCUGAUAAAACGUAUUCGAUUCCCUCAUGUAUAGCAAUACCAACAUGGAGCAGAGAAUAAAGCGGAAGAUUUCAAAGAUAUACCUAGCACUAGUGAAUGGGAUACUGAAUCAGGAUAGGUAACACCUUGGCUCAACCACUGCCUUUUGCUUCCUUUUCUGUUUGUGGCAUUUGUACUCUUCUGGUUAUGCUGUGAUUUCUUCUUUGGUUGGCAAUGAUUAUUUUGUGUUUAUAAUGCUGACAACUUGAAGAACCAUCUGUAUCCAGUGGUUGUUUGUUUUUUCUCAAUCACGCCAUUCCUUGCAAAUAACUUUUCAUGAUAAGAAUCAGGAUAGGUAACAAUGCGUUUCCCUGGAGUGGCCAAAGGGCUGUGUGUUGCUUCACCCUCAGGUUCAUUAAAUCCUUCCCUUCUCUAAAUAAAAUUUCUGUUUUUUUCCUCCUCUCAAGCACUCCUAGUUACUGCAUAAAUUCAAUACUAUAUAGAAAUUUUUUAGUUGUGUUUUCUAGUCUCCUGAAGUGUCCUCGCCUUUGAAUGUUUGUUAUUCCACUAUUUGCUGUCAAGAUCCUCCUUUUCUAUUUUGAAUGUAUUUCUGAUCAUGUUUAUGUUUUACUAAUGGCCAAGCCAGGAUAACCAUCUUUGAGCAAAGUUGGAAGUCCUUGAGAGAGAUGCACGACGAAACCACACAUUGGUCCAGGCUGAGAUUGAAUCAGGACGCCCACGCCAGAUUUGCCUUCUCUCGUUCAUAGGGCAUCCUUUGCUGGGUAGACCUUAGUGUGGAUAGUUUUUUACUGUGUAUUUGAAUGAAGUUUACACCUUUGUCAACAUUCAGAAGGCAAUUGAUAUGGGAAAGAAAGCUGUUUAUCGCUA